GGCAGCGGCCGUCGAGGGGAGAGGCUGGGGCUACCGGACGGCGGAGGUGACCGUGGUAGCCCCAGCAUCUCCCCCCGACGGCCAGCUAC
rnacentral:pre_miRNA from 1 species